AGAGUAUUGUUUUUUGGUAUAAUAGCUUUAAUAUGGAAAGCAAGUCUCUACCCUGAACCGCAAAUUACAGGACUACCAAAAAAUAUAAU
rnacentral:ncRNA from 1 species